GCGCCUGUAGCUCAGUUGGAUAGAGCAAUAGCCUCCGACGCUAUGUGUCGUGCGUUCGAAUCGCAUCAGGCGUACCA
rnacentral:tRNA from 2 species